UUGGCCCUGAAUCAAGGCCGGCAGUUUGCUGAAGCUGUUGGUUUCAAACAGGAGCCUAAAGAAUUAUCUUUCUAUGGUCUGUUGGCCAUUUCAGAACUUUGGAAAUGUAAUGGUCAAUUCAUUAGAAAGAAACAUCU
ensembl:snoRNA